UUUGUUGAUCGUAUUUGCGUUUGUUUAUUUAUUUGUUGGUGGAAAAUAAUAAAAAAGCGUAAAUAAUUACAAAUAAAUUGAAAAUAAAAGUGUAAAUAAUAAAAAAAUAAUAAAUAAAAGUGUGUUUAUUAUAUAGGUUCAUUGAAAAGUGUAAAAGUUUUUGAAUAUUUAAGUGUCAAAGUUGGAAUAUAAAUACAAACAUUUUUAUGCAAAAAAAAAAAAUAAAGAAAAUGGAGUAAAUAUGUUCAAAAUAAAAAAGUGUUUAUAAUUCUGUAAAUUACUCUAUUUGCCUCAAAGGGGUCUGGUUUACUCCACGUAGGUACAUGAAGUGGCGUCCUUAGAAAACUUUUAUAAAAACAGAUACUUACUAUCAUCGUCAAAUAAAACAUUCACCUCGACCGUUGAUCCACGACGCAUGAAACAUGGUAUUGUAGUGCAACUGGAGAUAUUUAAAUACAAUAUGAGAUAUUUAGAGCCUGAAAAAAAAAUAAUAGAACUAGAAAAAUAACUUUGUUAAACAAAUUUCAAUUUGGUUUAUUGAUUUUAAAAAAGCGAUAUAAGACAGACUAAAAAGGAGGUACAUAUUAAACAUCUUAGGAAAUAUUACUCAAAAAAAAAGUACCAG